rnacentral:piRNA from 1 species
UAAAUCACACUCACGUGAGUUUUAGGAAGU